CCCUCCGCCCCGCGCGGCCGCGCUUCUCGCCGCCCUCCUCGCGCAUGUGCGUCGCGGGAGGAAAGCACCUCCUGGGGGGCCCGGGAGGCGAGCCGCCCGCACUUCACCGCAAGGAAAACCUUUCACCACAACCCUGGACAGCAAUCUUUUCGAGCAUUAUCUCCAUCGCACUGAUGAGAGAACUGAGGCUACAAAAGCGUAAAUUCAGGCCCGGUGGCGUCCUGGUUUUUAUGUGGACAUAAACUUUAAACUCAUUUGGAUAAAUAUCAAGGAACAUGAUUGCUGGAUCAUAUGAUAAUAAAUAAAUCUUUAAAAUGUCAGAUGCCUACACCACAUCUCAGACCACUUUGUCAGAAUCACUAAAGCUGGCCAAGAAAGAAUUCUUGAGACAUCUUCAUUCCAAAAUGGUGGGUUUUUUAAAGCACAAGGACAGGACCUAUGGACAGAAGAGCUGCUGUUGCUGCUGCCUGCUGCUCCCUGCUGCCUCGGGAUUGUGAGGAGCAAUUGAUCAUAUACCUUGGGGUUGGAAGAAGUAAAAAUAAGGGAAGUUCCGAAAGGACUUUCGUAUGUUAAAGAAGACUCAGGAUACUGGAGGAAUGUUAUAAUCUGCCUAUUACAAGUAUUUGUCAAUGGGCUGCAGGUUAUGAGGAGAUUUAAUUUUAUCUACAUUUCCUUCUGCCUGUUUCCUACAUCAAUGUUGAGCAUCUUUAGUGUGUUUAUUGGCUGUUCAUAUAUCUCCUUUGAAGAAAUGUCUAUCAAAAUCCCUUACCCUUACCCAUUUUUAAAUUGGGUUAUUUUUUCAUUGCCGAGUUGUAAGAGUUGUUUGUAUAUUCUGGAUGAAAGUUCCUUGUCAGAUAAAUAAUUUGCAGAUAUUUUCUCCCCAUUCCAUGGGUUGCUUUUUCAAUUUCUUAAUGGUGUCCUUUAAAGCACAAAAUUUUAAAAUUUUUGUGAAGUCUGAUUUAUUUUUUAUUUUGUCACAGGUAGUUUCAGUACCUAAUAAACCAUUAUCUAAUCCAGGAUCAUGGAGAUUUACACUUACGGUUUCAUCUAAGAGUUUGUUUAAGCUCUUACAUUAAGGUUUAUGAUCCACUUUAAGUUCAUUUUCAUAUAUAUUGUGAACUACAAAUCAAACUUUUGUUUUCUCUUUUUGGUACAGGGAUAUCCAGUUGUCUCAGCAUCAUUUUUGUAAAGACUGUUCUUUUCCCAUAAAUUUCUUGGCACCCUUGUUGAAAAUCAACUGACCAUAAAAAUAAAGUUUAUCUGGACUGUCAA